ensembl:Mt_tRNA
CACUACGAAGCUUAGAGCGUUAACCUUUUAAGUUAAAGUUAGAGACUAUCAGUCUCCGUAGUGA